rnacentral:rRNA from 1 species
CCUACGGGAGGCAGCAGUGGGGAAUUUUGGACAAUGGGCGAAAGCCUGAUCCAGCAAUGCCGCGUGAGUGAAGAAGGCCUUCGGGUUGUAAAGCUCUUUUGUCAGGGAAGAAACGGUGAGAGCUAAUAUCUCUUGCUAAUGACGGUACCUGAAGAAUAAGCACCGGCUAACUACGUGCCAGCAGCCGCGGUAAUACGUAGGGUGCAAGCGUUAAUCGGAAUUACUGGGCGUAAAGCGUGCGCAGGCGGUUUUGUAAGUCUGAUGUGAAAUCCCCGGGCUCAACCUGGGAAUUGCAUUGGAGACUGCAAGGCUAGAAUCUGGCAGAGGGGGGUAGAAUUCCACGUGUAGCAGUGAAAUGCGUAGAUAUGUGGAGGAACACCGAUGGCGAAGGCAGCCCCCUGGGUCAAGAUUGACGCUCAUGCACGAAAGCGUGGGGAGCAAACAGGAUUAGAUACCCUGGUAGUCCACGCCCUAAACGAUGUCUACUAGUUGUCGGGUCUUAAUUGACUUGGUAACGCAGCUAACGCGUGAAGUAGACCGCCUGGGGAGUACGGUCGCAAGAUUAAAACUUAAAUGAAAUUGACGG